CCCCCCUGGACCCGUGACAGAGAUGGAGAAGAUCUGAGCCACAUACAUCCAAAGGCCCCCCAGAGCACAGGAACCUCAGGAGGACAACCACCAGGACUACCGCAACCCCGCCAGAGGAAAGUCCCAGGGGAACCCCCAGCAGCCACAGUGCAGAAGCCCCAGGGAGCUGCUGCGAUGAGCCAACAGGCCCCGCCGGCAGACCCCUUGGGCAUAUCACCCUCCAAGCAGAUGCCUGACAGCCAGGGGACCCAGGCCCUGGCAGCAGCAACUGGGGGUGAGCCAGCACACAGCAAAGCACCCAGUCCUGGACACUGAAAACCACCAAUACACCAGCGUGCAAAGACACCAGCCCCAAAUUUGAUGGGGGGCCUAAGCUGAUCCAGGAGAGGGAGGAGCUCAAGACCCAACCUGACACAAAAACAGAUGCACACAAUCACACAUUCCCACCCUCAUGCAUACACAUAAAAACACUCACACCCACGCACCCAACGUAAAGACACACAACAAUGAACAUCAUACACUCACUCAAACUCCCCAUACAUACACUAUAUUCCCAGGUCCAGGUACCGAUACCCUAGAGGGGCAACCAGUUUUCAGACCCAGUUGGCUGUCCCCUUCAUUCUGGGGUGGAGACAGGCAGGCCGCCCCAGCACCAGCCCAGAUUAGUCCCGACACCAGCCGAACCCGAAUGACCCCAGCCUAGGCCUCAACGCCCCGCCCUGACCCCAGCCCCCAACUACCGAGGGUCAUGAACAAAAGACCUACCUGGUCCAAACAAGUCCGCCAACCAGAGCCUCCCCAGGACAAAGCAGUCCCAACUGCCCAAUAAAUUCUGAUCUCAACCUCAUGAGCCCCCCACUCCAAUGAACCCCAACAUGGAUGUCCCCACAGACCCCAAACGCCAUGAAUACCCUCCCCAAAAAGGCACAGUCCAACAGACAAGCUCCUACCCCGAAAAGUGGAUGAAGACAUUCACACAGCACAAGCUCCACACCCAGCCCCGCUCCAAGCACCCCCACCUCAUCCUAACCUCCACCACACAGCGGGUCGCGACAGCAAGGCAAGGGCCCUGCGCAAUGCCACUGCAGCCUCUGCCCACAAGCACAACAGAGCAGACACCACCGAGCACUGUACUCACUAGACCCCACCAACCCUACACCAAGACGGGACAAACUCACCCGGCAGGAGGUCCCCGGCCGGCAGCACGCACCUGGGGCUGAUGGUCCCCACCGUGGUAACAUGCAUAACAAAGACCACCACUUCAGCACCAAAGCAUGUCGUACAGUGAAAGACAGAACGCAGCAAAGAGCACCCAAAGCAAAUGCCAUACACAAAGCCCACUCUGCGCAGAUGCGCCCCUUCAGCCUCCGAAAAAUAAAGCCCCCUUGCAAAAGUGAACCCCGCGAAAAGAAGACCCACAGCAUUCAAACCCAAGACCACAUGCUCAACACCCAGAAGUAGCUCCGCGAGAAAACCCACACCAAAGCCCACAGAAGGAAGAUAGUCCUUUUACUUAAUAGAAUAUGUGUAAAACAAGAUACAUUUUUACCUUGAGUUGGUAAUUUUUAUUAUUUUUAAUUGCUUUUUUCUAACUUGAUCUCCACAUUAUAAGUGAUUGAAACACAGGACUGAAGUAAUGAUAAAAUGGUAUAUUUCCUUUGUUAUCAAAUGUAAUUCAGGCUACAUAUAAAGGCCUUUGGACCUAUUAGUUAGGCUAAAAAUACAGCUUGUGGGUGUAAUGUUUCAUGUAAUCUCCUUUUAUGGGAAGUUAAGAUUACAAUGAUUUAUACACAAAUGUUUUACUUGUGCAUUUUAUUUUGUAGAACCACAAGCACCCGUACCUGGUACCUGAAUCUGCGUAUUAAAGAAACCGUAAAACAUUA